GACGUAGGGCGCGAGCGUUGUCCGGAUUUAUUGGGCGUAAAGAGUCUCGUAGGCGGCUUGUCGCGUCGAAUGUGAAAACUCGGGGCUCAACUCCGAAUGCUUGCAUUCGAUACGGGCAGGCUAGAGUUCGGUAGGGGAGACUGGAAUUCCUGGUGUAGCGGUGAAAUGCGCAGAUAUCAGGAGGAACACCGGUGGCGAAGGCGAGUCCCUGGACAACACCUGACACUGAGGCACGAAAGCUAGGGGAGCAAACAGG
rnacentral:rRNA from 1 species